AUACGGAGGAUCCGAGCGUUAUCCGGAUUUAUUGGGUUUAAAGGGUGCGCAGGCGGCCAUUUAAGUCAGCGGUUAAAUCGUGGGGCUCAACCCCAUUCUGCCGUUGAUACUGGGUGGCUUGAUUGCGGUCGAGGUUGGCGGAAUUCGUUGUGUUGCGGUGAAAUGCAUAGAUAUGACGAAGAACACCGAUUGCGUAGGCAGCUGACCAGAUCGCAAAUGACGCUCAUGCACGAAAGUGCGGGGAUCGAACAGGAUUAGAUACCCUGGUAGUCCGCACAGUAAACGAUGAAUACUUGUUUUCGGCGAUAUAAUGUCGGAGGCAAAGCGAAAGCGAUAAGUAUUCCACCUGGGGAGUACGCCGGCAACGGUGAAACUCAAAUGAAUUGGCGGGG
rnacentral:rRNA from 1 species